GACAGAGGUGCCAAGCGUUAGGCGGAAUCACUGGGCUUAAAGCGUGUGUAGGCGGAUCGUUAAGUACCUUGUGAAAUCCCACGGCUCAACCGUGGAACUGCUGGGUAUACUGGCGGUCUUGAGCCACCUAGGGGCAACUGGAACAAGCGGUGGAGCGGUGAAAUGCGUAGAUAUCGCUUGGAACGCCAACGGUGAAAACAGGUUGCUGGGGGGUGUGCUGACGCUGAGACACGAAAGCCAGGGGGAGCGAACGGG
rnacentral:rRNA from 1 species